GAUGAACGCUGGCGGCGUGCCUAAUACAUGCAAGUCGAGCGAACAGACGAGGAGCUUGCUCCUCUGACGUUAGCGGCGGACGGGUGAGUAACACGUGGAUAACCUACCUAUACGACUGGGAUAACUUCGGGAAACCGGAGCUAAUACCGGAUAAUAUAUUGAACCGCAUGGUUCAAUAGUGAAAGACGGUUUUGCUGUCACUUAUAGAUGGAUCCGCGCCGCAUUAGCUAGUUGGUACGUUAACGGCUUACCAAGGCAACGAUGCGUAGCCGACCUGAGAGGGGGAUCGGCCACAGUGGAACUGAGACACGGUCCAGACUCCUACGGGAGGCAGCAGUAGGGAAUCUUCCGCAAUGGGCGAAAGCCUGACGGAGCAACGCCGCGUGAGUGAUGAAGGUCUUCGGAUCGUAAAACUCUGUUAUUAGGGAAGAACAAAUGUGUAAGUAACUAUGCACGUCUUGACGGUACCUACUCAGAAAGCCACGGCUAACUACGUG
rnacentral:rRNA from 1 species